UACGAAGGGGGCUAGCGUUGCUCGGAAUCACUGGGCGUAAAGCGCACGUAGGCGGAUCGUUAAGUCGGAGGUGAAAUCCUGGAGCUCAACUCCAGAACUGCCUUCGAUACUGGCGAUCUUGGAGUCCGGGAGAGGUGAGUGGAACUCCGAGUGUAGAGGUGAAAUUCGUAGAUAUUCGGAAGAACACCAGUGGCGAAGGCGGCUCACUGGCCCGGUACUGACGCUGAGGUGCGAAAGCGUGGGGAGCAAACAGG
rnacentral:rRNA from 2 species